GGGGGUGUGGCGGAAUGGUAUACGCGCUCGACUCAAAAUCGAGUGGCUUCGGUCUUGAGGGUUCGAGUCCCUCCACCCCUA
rnacentral:tRNA from 1 species